CUCAACAACUAGCCCUGAAACAACAGUUGUAACUUCAACACCAACCGUUGAGACAGUGACAACAGUGACCACAGUGACUACAACAGAAGGUACUACAGCCAAACCCACUGAAACUUCGACAUCCGAGGUUUCAACAGCUGCGACUGUAUCAACAACAAAGCCACUUAAAGAAGAAACCACUGGCACAACAACUGCUGCUACAACAGCUGUAGUUGAAACAACCACCUCAGUGCCACAGCCCUCAACAACUAGCCCUGAAACAACAGUUGUAACUUCAACACCAACCGUUGAGACGGAGACAACGGUGACUACAGUGACUACAGCAGUAACAACAGAAGGUACUACAGAAAAACCCACUGAAACUUCGACAUCCGAGGUUUCAACAGCUGCGACUGUAUCAACAACAAAGCCACUAAAAGAAGAAACCACUGGCACAACAGCUGUGGUUGAAACCACUACCUCAGUGCCACAGCCCUCAACAACUAGCCCUGAAACAACAGUUGUAACUUCAACACCAACCGUUGAGACAGUGACAACAGUGACCACAGUGACU
ensembl:lncRNA